rnacentral:tRNA from 1 species
GCGGGGUUGCCCUAGCCUGGUAGGGGGCAGGCCUGCUAAGCCUGUGGUCAGCAAUGGCCGCGCGGGUUCAAAUCCCGCACCCCGCGCCA